rnacentral:lncRNA from 1 species
CAUUUCAUCAACAGAUCAGAAUUACAAAGUUUCCAGUAGCCGCUGACUAGCUACUGUUACAAUCAGUCUAGAAGAAAAAACUCCCUUAUGAUGUAUAUACAUUAAAACAUGAGAAGCGUAUAAAGUUUCCUUUCAGAUUUCUAUGGAAAGUGAUUCAGUCUUCGAAACACUUCCUUCCAGUGUUUGACAGAGGUUCCCUGA